GAUGAAGAACGUAGCGAAAUGCGAUAAGUAGUGUGAAUUGCAGAAUUCAGUGAAUCAUCGAAUCUUUGAACGCACAUUGCGCCCUUUGGUAUUCCUUAGGGCAUGCCUGUUCGAGCGUCAUUUAAACCUUCAAGCUAAGCUUGGUGUUGGGUGACUGUCCGCUUCACUGCGGACUCGCCUCAAAAUUAUUGGCGGCCGGUACAUUGGCUUCGAGCGCAGCAGAAACGCGAACUCGGGCCCGUCGUAUUGGCUCCCAGAAGCUAUCUUCACAAUUUUGACCUCGGAUCAGGUAGGGAUACUCGCUGAACUUAAGCAUAUCAAUAAGCGGAGGA
rnacentral:misc_RNA from 1 species